UUCGGUGCGAUCGGAUUACUCACGGAGAUGAAAAUAUCUCAACUCCUCCUCGAUUCCUUUCACUCCCCCACGACCCCGCCGCCGCCUCCUCUCCUGCUGCCGCCGCCGCGCCACCACAGCCACCUCCUCUCAUCUCUGCCUUCUCUCCUGCUGCCCCCGCCGCGCCACCGCAGAUGCCUCCUCUCAUCUCUGCCUCUCCUGUUGCCCCCGCCGCCCCAGGGCCUCGCCUCGCCCUCAAGUGCACCGUCGACCUCCCAGACCUUGUUCUCCGCCUCGUCGCACUGACCACCUUGAGCUCGAGCCAAGGAGCGGCCCGUGUCGCGUGGUGGCCAGAUGCGGCGGCCCCAUGCUCAAGCGCGGUGCUGGUGAACGCGAGGAGCAGCAGCCACUGAAGGACGCGGUGGUCCGUGCCGUCGCCGUCGCCGUCGUCUUCGGGCAGAAGGUCAAGCCAAGAUGAAUCAACAACACUACAACUGAAACGACCAUAGGUCCUGGAGCCUCUCAUUCCCUUCCUCCAUUCUCAUUCUCUUGAUUUAAUCCCCAAAAUCUUAUCUUUGUUUGUUCUAUGCCUACAAGGUGUUCGAUAAAAGCAAAAUGGUGGAUCUAUCACUUCUCUCCUCGUUCGGUCAGAAGGAGCAGCGAGACGGGAGCUGCGGAGAGCCGAGUCAGGGACAAGAAGCAGCAGGGACCGGGCUUCCGCUGCAGUGGAGUGGAGCUGCAGGGAGAGGAAGGAAGCACCAGAAUUGUUAAUUUGCUUGGGCACUCACCUGGGAUGUAGAUCUCUGGUUCCAGAGGCCGGAUCACCCCUUUCCUCUGAACCUUGUUCUGGAGCAAGAGCUGCAACAGAAGAUGGGAUGAAUUAACACAUGUUUCUUUCUGAUGCAGGUGAAGGAUGUCUGUGUGUGAUGUGUUGUGCUUGGUGUGCAGUAGUACCAGGGCUCCUAUCGCUGCCAGUACCCCGACAGUGAGGGCCAUGGCGCUGGUCGACCUGCUGUUCUCAAUCUUUCAGAACUCCAGCUUCGUCGCUUGGUGCUUCUCGGUGGGUUGCUCGUCGGGGUACUCCACCUCGACUUCAUGGUGGAGUAGUACCAUAUCCUGAAUCGUGGGAGCAAAGCAAACAUUUAGCUCAUCAUGGUCCAAGCCAUUCUCUGUUCAGAGUCGGGGACAAGAAGCAGCAGGGACCGGGCUCCUGCUGUAGUGGAGUGGAGCUGCAGGGAGAGGAAGGAAGCCGGUGACAGAAGAAAAGAAGUUGCCGGCUCUGGUUCAUCAUGGAGAAACAGCUGCUCGCCCUCCUCCGCCUCGUCUUCCCUAACCAUGGAUUCGUGAGACAAUGCCAACGAAUUGUCGGUCACGGGUACUGAGUCCCUCUCAUGUGAGGUAAUUUUAACUUCUCAGUUGGAUAUUAGUCAACAUCCUAAAGUUAGGAAUGUUCAGUAUCCCCAUAUCUAAUUUAUCUUCUUGGUUACCCUUGCUCCAUGUUCCUCUGCUCCCCCCUUACGUGUCGACAAUGGAGGCUUUACAUCAUAGUGCGAGGCAGUGGUGCCUGCAAUAAUGACGAGGAAGAGCUGCAUCCACUAGAAUUGCUACUCCAAUUUUGUUUACCAUUCAUAGAACAACACUCUGCUGGUCUUGCUAUUCGCCAUUUUCCUCCCCACUAUAGUGUUGCCACUCAGUGAUGCCUCGGCAAGAAGACCAAUCGCAGGGAGAUGCGCCAUGGCAUGUCCUGAAGAGGCAAUCAGAUAUUUUGGUGGCCUCAAGCCCUCAACCCUCUGGAUCAUCCGUCCGUUGUGCGUGCUCUCAUUUGGGUUGCCGAGGGACACCUCCUCCUGUGGCGCUCCUGUCCAAUUUUUUGUUUAUGUAAAAAAUUCUUACCAUCGCCUCACCUAUUUGGACAAUUAGCUUCAGGUAACUGCUUUAUGUGGAAAUAUGCCAAUGGAUAAUAUCCUCCAGAUUAACAAGUUCAUGUGUGCUGCUCUUAUUAUCUACCUGGUAGUCUCGUCUGACACUUGUAUUAAUGGCUUUUUCCUCUGGAGUACCAAGAAAAAUAGCAGUAUUACUUAGGGUUUGUUUGUUUGGGCUGCCAUUUCCAUGGCUGCAGCUGAAGGAGCGGCUGUAGCUGUUAAUGAAGAGAGGCACUUUGCAUUUGUCCACCAGAAGUAUAGAUCGGUAAAGUACAGAGAAGCUUCAGAGCAUGGUAGCAUUGUUUAUGAGAAGAAUCCACGACGGACUGAUAACCUACUUCUUCUUGGAGUUAUCUACUGUCAGUUUAAGACUUGGUGCUAGCCGGAGUUUCUAUUUUCUACCAAAACUACUAUUAACAAAAGAACUCUAGCGAUCCAGGAUUUUAUCCUAAGCUGCUAUUAAACUCACAAGAGGGAGUUAAUAACAAAAUAACUCUAGCCAUGCUUUUUGAUAUACUACGCAUAUGUAUGAUGUACUAGCAGUUCCUAUUUUUUAA